rnacentral:lncRNA from 1 species
AGAACAGUGAGCUUCUGAUUCAGUGAGAGACACAGUCUUAAAAGACAGGUAGGGAAAAUUAGAGGAAGACACUUGAUGUUCUACAUCUAUACACACAUACACACAUACAUACACACACAGAGAGACAGAGAGAUCGACAUAGAGAAAGAAGUUGCAGUAUUAAGUUGAGUAUUAAAAACUUUAGAAGUUGGAUGGUACCAAUCUUGAAACAUGGACAGAACACUUUAAAGAGGAGGAAACUGAGAACCCAGAAUGGAAAGCCACACCUCUUGCAAAGGGUACACAGGUGUGAAUGACAGAGCUGCCCUUUAAGAACCUGUUCUGUCCUCAUCUGAAGCUUGGAGUCAUCCUACUCAUGGACUUAAGAGAAAAAUCAAGAAUUAGCUUGGAACUAAAGUGAAUGAACAGUGAAAUGCACUUACUUCACGUGAACUCUGGACAAAACAGCAAGAACCCAGACAAGCUCACUGGAUCCAUCUUCUACACCAGAAAGACUGGAUUAAAUGGAUUGAGACUUUCUUUAUUAUAGUUUUCUCAAGCAAAAGUGAUCUUAUUCAUCUCUUCACCCCACUGGGCAUCUGUGGAAAUGCCUUCAUAUGUCCCAGUUAUCUCAACAGAAGUAUGCUAGUGUUAUCCUGAGAAUAGAAGUGGGGGAUAUUGAUGAACACUCAUCGGUGAACUGGCUGAUCCUUUGCAACAAAGAACAAUCGAGUCUGAAAUAUCUACAUUUAAUAUAAACUGACUUCAUUUUUUACUGAAGGAGAGAAAAAAACAGAGAUGUCAGGACUUCAUUCUUCUUUAUGGGAAAGUAAAAUCCUACCAUGUAUACAUGUCAUAUUUCCUUGUCUACCCCUCCAAUGAUAGGCACUGAAGCUGGCUUCAUUCUCUGCAGUUGUGAAUGGAGUUGCAGCAAACACGAAUAUGCAAGUAUCUCUGCAGUUUCCAUCAUGGCUGAAGCACACAAGGGCACAGAACAUACUUCUUUACCUUUAGACAGAGGUGCUCUGGAGAACACCCUCAGCCAGCUGCAGGCUCUUUAUCAGCUGGGUUCCAUGUGAAGACGGCAUAAGAACAUGCCUCAGGCCAGCUAUAGGAGCCAAGAAGCAGAGGCCACUGUGUUCAGAGGGAGUCAUCAUUAGCCCAAGUGGAGAGAACCAUACUGACAGCCCCGGAAUAAUACAAAGAACCAGAAGAGAGAGAUUCAAAGUAAACUGUAUAAAAGUUACUUCAGGAUGCAACCAUAGAAUCUACUGAACACCUUCCAGAGUUGCCUGAGUAAUAUCAGUUGUUCCAGUUAGAAAACUUCCACAUUCCUGCAGAACAGAAUACUUUUGACUCUGGAUAUCAAUUUUCUUAGAUCCUAGAAACAAGAAACAUAUAUGCGUUUUUACCUUCAUCUAUGUCUGUACACUCUGUCUGUACUUGGUGUCUGCAGAGGUCACCACUGGGUUACCUAGAACAAGAGUUACGGACAAUUUUCAUCUGCUGUGUGUGCCGGGUUUGGUUCUCAGGUCCUCUGCAAGAACAGCAGAUUAAAAUCAGCUACCAAGGCCAACUCCAAGUUAUUCAUUUGAGUGAUGUGUUUAUUCUUGAAACAAAUGCCAUUGCCAAAUGGGUAUAUACUCUGGCCACCUCACUGGCACAUGGAAGUAGUUGGGUGAACAGAAGGAAUGUCACAUCAGACCACACAAUGGGCCAGGAGCAGUUGCCCACAUGAAAAAAAGCAACAGGAAGUUUUCCAGACAGAAGGAGAGCAAAGCAUGGAUCUUUAUACUGUAAGAGGAAUUCUUGAAAGAAACAUUCUUCAAACCUGGUGAAGAAAGUGACAUGCAUGUGUGAUAUUUCAGAUGGUAGCCUUCAUGAGAUAAAGAGUAAGACGAUAUGCCAGAGGGUUCUCAAUAGCCCUUCACAGAUCAGACUCACGGAACACCUGCCAGGGCUCUGUCUCUACUCUAGCUAAUGCAGGAGGGCGUCAGCUUACUGCUCUGUGUAGCAACUGGAGAGAAAAAUUGCGAUUAGAUGUACAUGCAACCAGCAGUGACCACUAAUCUAAAACAAGAUAGACUGUCUUUCUACAUGGGCCUGGGAUUUCUAAACUGAAACCCGGGAGGAAAGAGCACAUGGCAUAUCAUCCCUCUGUCCAGGGAAGUCUUUGUCCUUGAUGGACAUCAUCAGAAAGAAGAAGAACAGCAUGUGACAUGUGGAAAGAAUGGAACACUCCAGAACUUCUUGCCCCAACAGUUAAACAUUAUUUUAGAGAGGGCUGUGUGCCAGUUUGCUAGAAUUGAAUGCAUCAGAUUUCUAACAUCUAAUAACAGAUGUUCUGGCUACAUUUCAUGAAAUCAUUUAAUAUUGCUUUAUGCUGCGGUAAUAAAAAUGUCAUCUGGCUCU